rnacentral:lncRNA from 1 species
GUUGUGUACACUUUUUUAGGCGUUUACAUAUAUAAAAAAAAGCAUAAUUUACUAUUUUAUACGAUCCGCCUAUCGUGGCAUUUAGAUAUGUUCCUUACGUCGUAACUACAAUCCCCUUCCCUUUCAUGAAUGUGACCUACCGAAUUAGACCAUUUACCGGAUUUGUUAUCACAUAAGCAACACGACGGGUGCCGCAUGAGGAGC